rnacentral:rRNA from 1 species
GGGAGCUCUCCCAUAUGGUCGACCUGCAGGCGGCCGCGAAUUCACUAGUGAUUAGAGUUUGAUCAUGGCUCAGAUUGAACGCUGGCGGCAGGCCUAACACAUGCAAGUCGAGCGGAUGAGAAGAGCUUGCUCUUCGAUUCAGCGGCGGACGGGUGAGUAAUGCCUAGGAAUCUGCCUGGUAGUGGGGGACAACGUUUCGAAAGGAACGCUAAUACCGCAUACGUCCUACGGGAGAAAGCAGGGGACCUUCGGGCCUUGCGCUAUCAGAUGAGCCUAGGUCGGAUUAGCUAGUUGGUGAGGUAAUGGCUCACCAAGGCGACGAUCCGUAACUGGUCUGAGAGGAUGAUCAGUCACACUGGAACUGAGACACGGUCCAGACUCCUACGGGAGGCAGCAGUGGGGAAUAUUGGACAAUGGGCGAAAGCCUGAUCCAGCCAUGCCGCGUGUGUGAAGAAGGUCUUCGGAUUGUAAAGCACUUUAAGUUGGGAGGAAGGGCAGUAAGCGAAUACCUUGCUGUUUUGACGUUACCGACAGAAUAAGCACCGGCUAACUCUGUGCCAGCAGCCGCGGUAAUAAUCGAAUUCCCGCGGCCG